CCCUUAGAUGUUCUGGGCUGCACGCGCGCUACACUGAUGCACUCAACGAGUUUACGACCUUGCCCGAUAGGGUUGGGUAAUCUUUUUAAAAUGCAUCGUGAUGGGGAUAGAUUAUUGCAAUUAUUAAUCUUCAACGAGGAAUUCCUAGUAAGCGCGAGUCAUCAGCUCGUGCUGAUUACGUCCCUGCCCUUUGUACACACCGCCCGUCGCUCCUACCGAUUGAGUGCUCCGGUGAAUAAUUCGGACUGCAGCAAUGUUUGGAUCCCGAACGUUGCAGCGGAAAGUUUAGUGAACCUUAUCACUUAGAGGAAGGAGAAGUCGUAACA
rnacentral:rRNA from 1 species